AGCCAGCAAGCUUAAUGGCCGGUCACACCCAAACUCAAGGACCUGCAACACACAACAUAUGCUCAAUCAGGAAAUCAUAUUGACCAGGCGAGUAUGCACAUCCAGGCCAGGAUAAUCUAACUUCCAGAACCUAAAGAUGUGAAAGGUCGCAAUAUCAAGUUCAUCAAUCAGACAUGUAUCAAGUGACCAGGCCCAACCACCACCAGCAAGAAUGCAACAUGAAGAGAGAGUGCUGCCAAGGGAGGAUGCGGCCAGGGGAGGAGCAAGACCAAGUCCGCGCUGCCAAGGGAGGAGGCGGCCACGCCGGGCCGGAGGACGCAGCAGCCAGUCAGAAGGGGGGGGGGGUCGCCAGAUCGGAUCUGGGCCGGCCAAGCCGCACGCGUGGGGGAGUCACCGAGGCGUCGUCGUCACGGAUCCGGGGACGAACUUCAUCACCAGAGACGAGGAAGGCCGCACGGGAGGGGCGGGGAUGGUGGUGGAGGGGCUCCCGGCCAGAUCUACGUAUGGUGGGGUGUGGGCUCUAGCAGGAGGUAGGGAGACAGAACCGCCCCGCCGCCGCCGUCCCUGGGCGCGGCGCGGCUUCGCCGGCCGGCCCUCCGGCAGCGGCGUUGCGAGUAGCGGUGAGGGCGGAGCGGGCCUUGGGCGGCGGCGCGGUUUUCCCCCGUGAGGCCGUGACGCUAGAUGGACGGUGUUUGAGAUCGAGGGGAGCCUCGUU
rnacentral:rRNA from 1 species